rnacentral:rRNA from 1 species
CGUCUAGGCGGGUUCGCAAGUCGGGUAUGAAAGCCCUGGGCUCAACUCAGGAACUGUGUCCGAAACUGCGAGUCUUGAGUGCGGGAAGGGAGAGUGGAACUCCUGGUGUAGCGGUGAAAUGCGUUGAUAUCAGGAUGAACACCGGUGGCGAAAGCGGCUCUCUGGCCUGCUACUGACGCUGAAGCGCGAAAGCCAGGGGAGCAAACG